rnacentral:rRNA from 1 species
GUCUACGGCCACGCCACCCUGAACGUGCCCGAUCCCGUCUGAUCUCGGAAGCUAAGCAGGGUCGGGCCUGGUUAGUACUUGGAUGGGGAGACCACCUAGGAAGACCAGGUGCCGUAAGCG